rnacentral:rRNA from 1 species
GACGAACGCUGGCGGCGUGCUUAACACAUGCAAGUCGAACGGUGAAGCGCCUUCCUUUUUGGUGGGUGUGGAUGAGUGGCGAACGGGUGAGUAACACGUGAGUAACCUGCCCCCUUCUUCUGGAUAACCGCAUGAAAGUGUGGCUAAUACGGGAUAUUCUGGGUCUGUCGCAUGAUGGGUCUGGGAAAGAUAUUGUUUCGGUGGGGGAUGGGCUCGCGGCCUAUCAGCUUGUUGGUGGGGUGAUGGCCUACCAAGGCGGUGACGGGUAGCCGGCCUGAGAGGGUGGACGGUCACACUGGGACUGAGACACGGCCCAGACUCCUACGGGAGGCAGCAGUGGGGAAUAGUGCACAAUGGGCGCAAGCCUGAUGCAGCGGCGCCGCGUGAGGGAUGGAGGCCUGCGGGUUGUGAACCUCUUUCGCCAGUGAAGCAGGCCUGCCUCGUUUGUGGGUGGGUUGACGGUAGCUGGAUAAGAAGCGCCGGCUAACUACGUG